rnacentral:rRNA from 1 species
GACGAACGCUGGCGGCGUGCUUAACACAUGCAAGUCGAACGGAAAGGCCCUGCUUUUGUGGGGUGCUCGAGUGGCGAACGGGUGAGUAACACGUGAGUAACCUGCCCUUGACUUUGGGAUAACUUCAGGAAACUGGGGCUAAUACCGGAUAGGAGCUCCUGCUGCAUGGUGGGGGUUGGAAAGUUUCGGCGGUUGGGGAUGGACUCGCGGCUUAUCAGCUUGUUGGUGGGGUAGUGGCUUACCAAGGGUUUGACGGGUAGCCGGCCUGAGAGGGUGACCGGCCACAUUGGGACUGAGGUACGGACCAGACUCCUACGGGAGGCAGCAGUGGAGAGUAUGGCACAAUGGGCGGAAGCCUGAUGCAGCAACGCCGCGUGCGGAAUGACGGCCUUCGGGUUGUAAACCGCUUUCGCCUGUGACGAAGCGUGAGUGACGGUAAUGGGUAAAGAAGCACCGGCUAACUACGUG